GUCCAGACUCCUACGGGAGGCAGCAGUGGGGAAUAUUGCACAAUGGGGGAAACCCUGAUGCAGCGACGCCGCGUGAGCGAUGAAGUAUUUCGGUAUGUAAAGCUCUAUCAGCAGGGAAGAAAAUGACGGUACCUGACUAAGAAGCCCCGGCUAACUACGUGCCAGCAGCCGCGGUAAUACGUAGGGGGCAAGCGUUAUCCGGAUUUACUGGGUGUAAAGGGAGCGUAGACGGUCCUGCAAGCCAGAUGUGAAAGCCCGGGGCUCAACCCCGGGACUGCAUUUGGAACUGUCAGUCUUGAGUACAGGAGAGGUAAGUGGAAUUCCUAGUGUAGCGGUGAAAUGCGUAGAUAUUAGGAGGAACACCAGUGGCGAAGGCGGCCUGCUGGGCUUUAACUGACGCUGAGGCUCGAAAGUGUGGGUAGCAAACAGGAUUAGAUACCCCAGUA
rnacentral:rRNA from 1 species